AUACGUAGGGGGCAAGCGUUAUCCGGAUUCACUGGGUGUAAAGGGAGCGUAGACGGCAAAGCAAGUCUGAAGUGAAAGCCCCGGGCUCAACCCGGGAAUUGCUUUGGAAACUGUUUAGCUGGAGUGCAGGAGAGGUAAGCGGAAUUCCUAGUGUAGCGGUGAAAUGCGUAGAUAUUAGGAGGAACACCGGCGGCGAAGGCGGCUUACUGGACUGUAACUGACGUUGAGGCUCGAAAGCGUGGGGAGCAAACAGGAUUAGAUACCCUGGUAGUCCACGCCGUAAACGAUGAUUACUAGGUGUUGGUUGUCAUAGACAAUCGGUGCCGCAGCAAACGCAAUAAGUAAUCCACCUGGGGAGUACGUUCGCAAGAAUGAAACUUAAAGGAAUGGACGGGG
rnacentral:rRNA from 1 species